rnacentral:rRNA from 1 species
CCCUUAGAUGUUCUGGGCCGCACGCGCGCUACACUGAUGCAUUCAACGAGUUUCUUCCUGGUCCGAGAGGAAUGGGUAACCUUUUGAAAGUGCAUCGUGAUAGGGAUAGACUAUUGCAAUUAUUGGUCUUCAACGAGGAAUUCCUAGUAGACGUAGUUCAUCAGACUGCAUCGAUUACGUCCCUGCCCUUUGUACACACCGCCCGUCGCUCCUACCGAUUGAAUGGUUUAGUGAGAUCUCUGGAUUGACGCUGGCUAGGGGGCGACCCUUGGCCAGACUGCUCGAGAAACUGCUCAAACUUGAUCAUUUAGAGGAAGUAAAAGUCGUAACA